rnacentral:rRNA from 1 species
AGCUAAUACUUGCUUUAGCACUCUUGAUUAAGUUCUUGAGUUGUGUACUUGUUAAGCCUUUUAAGAAAAAAGUUAUUAACUUAAGGAAUUAUAACAAAGAAGUAACACGUAAAUGGAUUUUCCAUUUUUUAGUGUGUAUCAAUCGAGUUUCUGACCUAUCAGCUUUUGAUGUUAGGGUAUUGGCCUAACAUGGCUAUGACGGGUAACGGGGAAUUAGAGUUCGAUUCCGGAGAGGGAGCCUGAGAAAUAGCUACCACAUCUAAGGAAGGCAGCAGGCGCGUAAAUUACCCAAUUCUAAAGAAGAGAGGUAGUGACAAGAAAUAACAAUACAAGGCCAAUCUGGCUUUGUAAUUGGAAUGAUGGGAAUUUAAAACCUUCCCAAAACUCAAUUGGAGGGCAAGUCUGGUGCCAGCAGCCGCGGUAAUUCCAGCUCCAAUAGCGUAUAUUAAAAUUGUUGCAGUUAAAACGCUCGUAGUUGAAUUUCAAAGAAUCGAUAUUUUAAGUAACGCUUUGUAGAUUAAUCCACAUAACUGAUACUACGUAUCGACUUUGUGCGCAUUUUUCUACUUAUGUGUUCUUUUAAUUAAAAUGAUUCUUUUUAAGACCUUUCUUUUUUGCUUCGGCAUUUUAGGAGAUCUUGUUACUUUGAGUAAAUUAGAGUGUUCAAAGCAAACAGAUUAUAGCAUCUUUAUGCGUUUGGAUACUACAGCAUGGAAUAACAAAAUUGAACAAGUCAGAAUUUUGUUCUUUUUUCUUAUUUUGGCUUAGUUACGAUUAAUAGGAGUAGCUUGGGGGCAUUUGUAUUCAGAUGUCAGAGGUGAAAUUCUUAGAUUUUCUGGAGACAAACAACUGCGAAAGCAUUUGCCUAAAAUACUUCCAUUAAUCAAGAACGAAAGUUAAGGGAGUGAAGACGAUCAGAUACCGUCGUAAUCUUAACCAUAAACUAUGCCGACUAGGCUUUGGAUGAAAGAUUUUAAAAUAAGAGUUUUUUCUCUGAGGAGUUAAAACUCUUAGAUUGCUUCCUCCAGUGCCUUAUGAGAAAUCAAAGUCUUUGGGUUCUGGGGCGAGUAUUCGCGCAAGCGAGAAAGUUAAAAGAAUUGACGGAAGGGCACCACCAGGCGUGGAGCUUGCGGCUUAAUUUGACUCAACACGGGAAAACUCACUAGUUUAAGACAAGAGUAGGAUUGACAGAUUAAUAGCUCUUUCUUGAUUUCUUGGAUGGUGAUGCAUGGCCGUUUUUAGUUCGUGAAUAUGAUUUGUCUGGUUAAUUCCGAUAACGAACGAGAUCUUAACCUGCUAAUUAGCGGCAAAUACGAUAUAUUCUUAUGUGGAAUUGAAUAUAGUUGAUUUGCUUAUUUUGAAGAAAAUAUUGGGAUACGUAAAUGUAUCCCUUUCCCUUUUCUACUUAAUUUGCUUAUCAUACUAUUUCUUUUUUGCGUAAGAAUGUAUUUGCUUGAUUGUAAAGCUUCUUAGAGGAACGAUGUGUGUCUAACACAAG